GAUGAACGCUGGCGGCGUGCCUAAUACAUGCAAGUCGAGCGAACGGACGAGAAGCUUGCUUCUCUGAUGUUAGCGGCGGACGGGUGAGUAACACGUGGAUAACCUACCUAUAAGACUGGGAUAACUUCGGGAAACCGGAGCUAAUACCGGAUAAUAUUUUGAACCGCAUGGUUCAAAAGUGAAAGACGGUCUUGCUGUCACUUAUAGAUGGAUCCGCGCUGCAUUAGCUAGUUGGUGGGGUAACGGCUUACCAAGGCAACGAUGCAUAGCCGACCUGAGAGGGUGAUCGGCCACACUGGAACUGAGACACGGUCCAGACUCCUACGGGAGGCAGCAGUAGGGAAUCUUCCGCAAUGGGCGAAAGCCUGACGGAGCAACGCCGCGUGAGUGAUGAAGGUCUUCGGAUCGUAAAACUCUGUUAUUAGGGAAGAACAUAUGUGUAAGUAACUGUGCACAUCUUGACGGUACCUAAUCAGAAAGCCACGGCUAACUACGUG
rnacentral:rRNA from 1 species